rnacentral:tRNA from 1 species
GCAUCGGUGGUUUAGUGGUAAAAUUAGCCGUUGCCAUCUUUCGCAGGACAGUUUCGGCUAGCCCCGGGUUCGAUUCCCGGCCGAUGCA